GCCUCAGUGGUGCAAAGGGUUAACAUGCUCAGCUAUUAACCAAAAGGUUGGAGGUUCGAUUCCUCCCAGAGGCA
rnacentral:tRNA from 1 species